GGACGUGGGAGGCCGCGAUAGUCCUCGGGGAGUUGUCAACCGAACUGUGAUCCGAGGGUGUCCGAAUGGGGAAACCCAGCACCCGUCAUGGGGUGUUACCCGUACCUGAAUUCAUAGGGUGCGUGGAGGGAACGUGGGGAAGUGAAACAUCUCAGUACCCACAGGAAGAGAAAACAAUAGUGAUUCCGUGAGUAGUGGCGAGCGAAAG
rnacentral:ncRNA from 1 species